CUCAAAUUGAACUCACUGGCUGCUGCCUCACUGGUACAGUUGGUGACCCUCAAGAGGCUAAGGUUGACGCCUUUGACUUUCCCAUCCCUUCAAGAAACGUUGAUAAAGUCAUUAAACGAAAGAAGAAAAAGUCCAAAAUCUGGCACAAGGUCUGGAAAGUGAUUUCAAAAAUGCUUGAGGAAAAUGAAAGGUUCAGAAGUCGACUGUUGACCUGCAGCCAGUUGGAUGGAGAAGGCUCUGACAGGACCCAGAGGUCACAGAAUGGGGCAUACCUGGACAGGGAUGAGUCCGUCUUUGGCUGGGUGUAGCAAGGAAAUAAAGGAAGAUUCAGCCCCA
rnacentral:lncRNA from 1 species